UGCCAGCAGCCGCGGUAAUACGGAGGGGGUUAGCGUUGUUCGGAAUUACUGGGCGUAAAGCGCACGUAGGCGGAUAUGUCAGUCAGGGGUGAAAUCCCGGGGCUCAACCCCGGAACUGCCUUUGAUACUGCAUGUCUAGAGGUCGAGAGAGGUGAGUGGAAUUCCGAGUGUAGAGGUGAAAUUCGUAGAUAUUCGGAGGAACACCAGUGGCGAAGGCGGCUCACUGGCUCGAUACUGACGCUGAGGUGCGAAAGCGUGGGGAGCAAACAGGAUUAGAUA
rnacentral:rRNA from 1 species